ACUCCUACGGGAGGCAGCAUUGGGGAAUAUUGGACAAUGGGGGAAACCCUGAUCCAGCCAUGCCGCGUGAGUGAAGAAGGCCCUAGGGUUGUAAAACUCUUUCGGCGGGGAAGAUGAUGACGGUACCCGCAGAAGAAGCCCCGGCUAACUUCGUGCCAGCAGCCGCGGUAAUACGUAGGCAGCAAGCGUUGUUCGGAAUUACUGGGCGUAAAGAGUGUGUAGGCGGUGCUCUAAGUUCGUUGUGAAAUCUCCCGGCUUAACUGGGAGGGUGCGGCGGAAACUGGAGUGCUUGAGCGCGGGAGAGGAAAGCGGAAUUCCUGGUGUAGCGGUGAAAUGCGUAGAGAUCGGGAGGAAGGCCGGUGGCGAAGGCGGCGCUCUGGAACGUUUCUGACACUGAGGCUCGAAAGCGUGGGGAGCAAACAGGAUUAGAUACCCUGGUAGUCCACGCCCUAAACGAUGGACACUAAGUGCCGGCGGGUUACCGUCGGUGCCGCAGCUAACGCGUUAAAUAUGCCGCCUGGGGAGUACAGUCGCAAGGCUGAAACUUAAAGGAAUUGACG
rnacentral:rRNA from 1 species